UGGGGAAUAUUGGACAAUGGGGGCAACCCUGAUCCAGCGAUGCCGCGUGAGUGAAGAAGGCCUUCGGGUCGUAAAGCUCUUUAGGUUGGGAAGAAGGAUACGAGAGGAAAUGCUUGUAUUUUGACGGUACCGACAGAAUAAGCACCGGCAAACUCUGUGCCAGCAGCCGCGGUAAUACAGAGGGUGCGAGCGUUAAUCGGAAUUACUGGGUGUAAAGGGCGCGUAGGCGGUAAGGAAAGUGUGAUGUGAAAGCCCCGGGCUUAACCUGGGAAGCGCAUCGCAAACUUCCUAACUAGAGUAUAUGAGAGGGUGGCGGAAUUUCCGGUGUAGCGGUGAAAUGCGUAGAGAUCGGAAGGAAGGUCGAUGGCGAAGGCAGCCACCUGGCAUAAUACUGACGCUGAGGCGCGAAAGCGUGGGGAGCGAACAGGAUUAGAUACCCCCGUAGUCC
rnacentral:rRNA from 1 species